ACCUUAUGGUUGUGACAUUGCAUGAGUUUCCCAUUGAAUCUCUCUCACACCUCAUAUAGAGAUUCUCCAUUCAAUUGAUGAAAAUUGGUGAUUUUGUCAUGAAAUU
rfam:Capsicum annuum cultivar Zunla-1 chromosome 7, whole genome shotgun sequence